AAUAGAUACCCCGGUAGUCCACGCCGUAAACGAUGAGUGCUAAGUGUUAGAGGGUUUCCGCCCUUUAGUGCUGCAGCAAACGCAUUAAGCACUCCGCCUGGGGAGUACGGUCGCAAGACUGAAACUCAAAGGAAUUGACGGGGGCCCGCACAAGCGGUGGAGCAUGUGGUUUAAUUCGAAGCAACGCGAAGAACCUUACCAGGUCUUGACAUCCUUCGCUACUUCUAGAGAUAGAAGGUUCCCCUUCGGGGGACGGAGUGACAGGUGGUGCAUGGUUGUCGUCAGCUCGUGUCGUGAGAUGUUGGGUUAAGUCCCGCAACGAGCGCAACCCUUGACCUUAGUUGCCAGCAUUCAGUUGGGCACUCUAAGGUGACUGCCGGUGACAAACCGGAGGAAGGUGGGGAUGACGUCAAAUCAUCAUGCCCCUUAUGACCUGGGCUACACACGUGCUACAAUGGAUGGUACAAAGGGCUGCAAGACUGCGAAGUCAAGCCAAUCCCAUAAAACCAUUCUCAGUUCGGAUUGCAGGCUG
rnacentral:rRNA from 1 species